rnacentral:rRNA from 1 species
UACGUAGGUGGCAAGCGUUGUCCGGAAUUAUUGGGCGUAAAGCGCGCGCAGGCGGUCCUUUAAGUCUGAUGUGAAAGCCCACGGCUCAACCGUGGAGGGUCAUUGGAAACUGGGGGACUUGAGUGCAGAAGAGGAAAGCGGAAUUCCACGUGUAGCGGUGAAAUGGCGUAGAGAAUGUGGAGGAACACCAGUGGCGAAGGCGGCUUCUGGUCUGUAACUGACGCUGAGGCGCGAAAGCGUGGGGAGCAAACAGG